AAAUAUAUAGUAUAAAAAUUACAUUUAAUUUCCAAUUAAAAAAUUUAAUUAAAAUUAAUAUAUUU
rnacentral:tRNA from 1 species